rnacentral:misc_RNA from 1 species
UCUCCGUUGGUGAACCAGCGGAGGGAUCAUUACUGAGUUCCAGCUACUCGCUACCCUUGCGCACCGUAAUCCAGACUGUCCUCGUUGCUUCCGGCAGGCGGGGGGGGCCUCUUUGGUACUCUCCCUGCCGGGGGCGGUGGGCCCUCUGAACCUUUAUUUCUCAACCACUGAAGCCCGCCUGCGCAACACAAAAAAUAAUCAAAACUUUCAACAACGGAUCUCUUGCCACUGUCAUCGAUGAAGAACGCAGCCGAUCGGACGAGCACCAGUCUGAACUCC